AACCAACUAGGCCCGCCAACCCACAAGCAGAUAGAAAAUAAGCUGAUUCUAUAGGACAGAAAAAGGAAGAGGGCAGGGGUCAUAAGGGGAUGUAAGCAUAAGAUACCCAAGCCAGAAACAGCAACCCUUCCAGGUCCCCUUCCCCCACGUGGAAGCUUUCCUUUCACUUUCGCUUUAAUAAAUCUUGCCGCAGCACACUCUCUAAUCGAGCUGUAACACUCGCCACUGCCGUCCACGGCUUCAUUCCUUGAAGCCGUGAGACCACGAACCCUUCGAUUGAGAAGAACCUUCGGUCGGAAGAAGACUUCUCGUCUCAGUAACAAUAACAAGAAAAACAGCCUAGACUAGACGCACAUCAGGAAGACAGUGUCGGCCACAGCCGCAGAAUAAACAUGUGGAGAAGGUCAUUGAUCACCUUGACUGAAGCACUGCAGACAAGAUAAAGACAGCCUGAUGCAGAGGAAGAUUGAGGACUAAGGGGCUUCAUCCACAGUUAAUCCCGUCAUGUAUUGACCCGGAAACAUCAUCUCAUUUGCCUAUAAGACAGAGAGAGAGAAUGAUAGAAAUGCUGGAAGAACGAGCCUUGGGGCGGUAUCGCCCAGAUCUGAAUCCACACAGCAGCUGCUUCGGUCCCUGUAACUCAAGGCUUCCUCUUAAUCCUCUGUCCUCCAUCAACACCUGGCUGAGCAGGAACAACUAUGACCUAGGACCAGGGCCUUCAGGAAUCUUCACCCCUAACUUGAACUUCAUAACACUGGAGAGGAGCUGGUAUAUGGAUGUUCACUGAGCAAUCCUAGUAGCUCUGUCACUACCUGAAUAGGAGGCAGCUGAUGCCCUGAGAAGCUGAGACACCUGAGCUGGAGCCCCAGGCCUGCAUGAGCCCA
rnacentral:lncRNA from 1 species